rnacentral:lncRNA from 1 species
GCCCCAGUUGACAGAUUAUUGAUUCUUCGGACACUGUUGGUGCACAAUCAUUACACCUAGCAUUAUUCUAAUGCUGAAACAAAUAUGUGAAUGUAGCUAACAGUUUGAAGCUUACCAAUGUGCCCUCCGUAGUUUGUAGGAAGUGCACAUACACGAGCCCACUAUCCUAUUUCAUGAUGGAGAAUUUGGGUAGAGGGCAGACAUGUCGAAUUCUGACCAACAAUGCUUUAAGCAUCCCUUUCUCGCUAGGACUCGGGCAAAGCAGUUUCUUUGCCAAAAAAUGUCCCAAGAAGAAUGCAACAAAGGUAGUUUUGUUGCAUAAAUUACAUUAGUGCCCCA